GCUAUUAACAAGGAACAGAGAAGGGAACACAAUUCCAGCACCGGCCUUUUACAGCAAAAAGCUCGAGUGUGUUGUGACGGGUGAAACUGCACGGAGAAAGUUGCGUUUUGAGGUAAAAUUUAUCAGGGGGCAUUAUAGCAAAUAACCUAAAGUUACUACUAACUUAAUUUCUAGUAUUCUAUGACUAGCCCACCCAUUGGGGCACGGUGUGGAAUUCCCUUUCUUCUCUUGGCCGUUCUGUAAUUAACAGAAGUUGGAGGCGGUGUGGACGGUGUGAAGCUGUUCUUCUUCCCAUGGCUGCUGUUGCUGCUGUACGAAGAAUCCUCUGUGUCUGAUCC
rnacentral:lncRNA from 1 species